GACGAACGCUGGCGGCGUGCUUAACACAUGCAAGCCGAACGAUGAACUUGGAGCUUGCUCUGGGGGAUUAGUGGCGAACGGGUGAGUAACACGUGAGUAACCUGCCCUGGACUCUGGGAUAACUUCGAGAAAUCGGAGCUAAUACCGGAUAGGACCUUGCACCGCAUGGUGUGGGGUGGAAAGUUUUUCGGUUUGGGAUGGACUCGCGGCCUAUCAGCUUGUUGGUGAGGUAAUGGCUCACCAAGGCGUCGACGGGUAGCCGGCCUGAGAGGGUGACCGGCCACACUGGGACGGAGACACGGCCCAGACUCCUACGGGAGGCAGCAGUGGGGAAUAUUGCACAAUGGGCGCAAGCCUGAUGCAGCAACGCCGCGUGCGGGAUGACGGCCUUCGGGUUGUAAACCGCUUUUAGUAGGGAAGAAGCCUUCGGGUGACGGUGCCUGCAGAAAAAGGACCGGCUAACUACGUGCCAGCCGCCGCAGUAAUAC
rnacentral:rRNA from 1 species